rnacentral:rRNA from 1 species
CAGUCGCCGCGGUAAAACGUAGGGUGCAAGCGUUAAUCGGAAUUACUGGGCGUAAAGCGUGCGCAGGCGGUUCGCUAAGACAGAUGUGAAAUCCCCGGGCUUAACCUGGGAACUGCAUUUGUGACUGGCGGGCUAGAGUAUGGCAGAGGGGGGUAGAAUUCCACGUGUAGCAGUGAAAUGCGUAGAGAUGUGGAGGAAUACCGAUGGCGAAGGCAGCCCCCUGGGCCAAUACUGACGCUCAUGCACGGAAGCGUGGGGAGCAAACAGGAUUAGAUACCCCUGUAGUCCCUGUCUCUUAUAC